AAGACUAUAGACCUGCGGAGUACCUGCGGAAGGAUCAUUAUAGAGUGGUAAACCCCCCGUAAAAGGGGGGGACCUCCUGUCCUUUGUAGGCUCUUUUUUAAAAGGGCUUUUUUUAAUUUUCUGCUUCGGUGGGGUUAUCCCACCGGAACAACCUCAAAACUCUUAUCAAAAAAUCGUUCUGUCUGAGAACCUUUUAUAAUAAAAAAAAACUUUCAACAACGGAUCUCUAGAUCGGAAGAG
rnacentral:misc_RNA from 1 species